CCAUUUCUGGUUUUUAAACAUUCAACUCACCGUGUCUGCCAGCGCAACCUGCAGUCAUAUGGGAAACUACCAUUCAAACCAUUUUUCAUUAUGGUGAGACUGUUAGCUCAAAUUUUCAAAUACAGCAACAGUAGUUGCUUUUGGUUUGGUUUGUAGAUCACGGAUAAAAGUUGAAACUAUGGCUCAAUUUGUUUAUCUGGAAUCAAUGUCCCCC
rnacentral:lncRNA from 1 species